UUGCAUCCUUGUUUUAUAGGCCUUUGCCCAGUUUGAUGCUGAGGGUGAUGGUACUGUUGAUGCUGAGAACAUGUUGGAGGCCCUCAAGAAUUCCAGUGGAGCUAAUCUUCAGGGGGAGCUAAGCCACGUCAUCAGACAGCUACAAGCCUGCUCUCUUGUUCCAGGUUUUAUAGACAUAUUUUCAGAGUCAAAAGAAGGCCUUGGUGUUCACUCAUCAAUGAUACUUCGCUUCCUGCAUCGCAAUCGGAUCUCUAGCAUGGUAAUUCCCUACCCGAUGUUGGACCACUGCAAUAACAUGUGCACCAUGCGGUCUUCGGUUCUAAAGGAGUCUCUGGAUCAACUGGUACAAAAAGAAAAGGAAAGCCCUGGAGAUCUUACCAGAAGCCCAGAGAUGGAUAAACUCAAAUCAGUAACAAAGUGCUAUGCUUAUAUAGAAACAUCCUCCAACCCUGCUGACAUCGACAAGAUGACAAAUGGAGAAACAUCAUCCUACUGGCAGUCAGAUGGCAGUGCCCGUUCACACUGGAUUCGCUUAAAAAUGAAGCCAGAUGUUGUGCUUAGGCACCUGUCCAUUGCAGUUGCUGCCACUGACCAGAGUUAUAUGCCACAGCAGGUGACAGUAGCUGUGGGGAGGAGUGCCGGCGAUCUUCAGGAAGUUCGAGAUGUGCACAUCCCUAGCAAUGUCACUGGCUAUGUGACACUGCUGGAAAACGCCAAUAUCAGUCAGCUCUAUGUCCAGAUUAACAUAAAGCGUUGUCUUAGCGAUGGAUGUGACACUAGGAUUCAUGGUCUGAGGGCUGUUGGCUUUCAGAGAGUUAAGAAGUCUGGGGUCUCAGUCUCAGAUGCUUCGGCAAUAUGGUAUUGGUCUCUGCUGACAUCUCUGGUAACGGCUUCUAUGGAGACAAAUCCCGCCUUUGUCCAGACAGUGCUGCACAAUACUCAGAAGGCACUACAGCACAUGCCUCCACUUUCCCUCUCACCAGGAUCUACAGAUUUCUCCACUUUCCUGUCUCCCAAUGUCCUGGAAGAAGUGGACAGCUUCCUCAUAAGAAUAACUAGCUGCUGUUCUACCCCAGAGGUGGAACUGACUCUUCUGGCUUUUGCACUAGCAAGAGGAAGUGUUGCCAAAGUGAUGAGCUCUCUGUGUACCAUCACUGACCACCUGGACACAGGGUAUGAUGCCUCGUCCCUCAUCUCAUCCAUGGCAUCAGUCAGACAGAACCUGCUCCUCAAAUACGGUAAACCUCUCCAGUUGACUCUUCAGGCUUGUGAUGUCAAAGGAAAAGAAGACAAGUCAGGACCUGAAAACCUACUUGUGGAACCGUGGACAAGGGAUGGUUUUCUUACAGAGACUGGAAAAACCAGAGCAAGUACUAUUUUUUCUGCAGGAACUGAGUCUGCCUUCCAAGUUACACAAAUCAGAAUCAUGGUUCGACGUGGCGGCAUUGGUGCCCAGUGUGGCCUGGUUUUUGCCUAUAACUCACCUUCUGAUAAAUUUCAUGCAGAGGAACACUUUAAGCGGUUUGAAAAAUAUGACAAAUGGAAGCUUCAGGAGCUCAGGCAAUUUGUAAAAAGCAGGAUUGGUUGCUCAUCUGAUGACCUGGGAGAGGAUGAUCCUAUUGGCUGGUUUGAGCUGGAAGAAGAGUGGGAUGAAGCAGAUGUCAAAUUGCAGCAGUGCAGAGUUGCCAAAUAUUUGAUGGUGAAGUUCCUCUGCACCCGUCAGGAGUCGGCAGAGCGCUUGGGAGUGCAAGGCUUGAGCAUCAGUGGGUACCUCCGGCCUGCAAGAGCAGAGGCAGAGCAAAACAUCCUCUGUGCCCACUGCAGAAAGGACACAGAGAGUGUCUGUGGGGCCACCCUGCUCCUCAGGACUCUUCAGUUCAUCCAGCAACUCGCCCAUGACCUGGUACAGCAGAAGGAAAGUGGCCUAAAAUAUAAAUCUUUUCUGGACUUUACGGGUCUUGAUUUGCAGAUCUUCUGGAAUUUUUACAGUAAACUAAAGCAAAACCCAAGGGAAGAGUGCAUAUGUGCCCAAACCUUGCUGCUGCGCCUCCUCCAGAGUUGCUUCUCAGUGCUGCAGGGAGAGGCACUGGCUGCCUCUGGGGAAGAAAAGCCUCCAACCCAGCGCCCUGAGGGAGUGGAGGCUGCCAAGGAGCUCUACAUACACUUAUGUGAUGUGGUAGAUAGGGUGGAUGGAGAUUCCAUGCCCAUGGAGAUAUUAAAACAAGAGGUCAGGAACACCCUUCUCAAUGGAGCUGCCAUCUUCUUUCCUGAUCGACAGACCCGACGGAACCAUCUCUUCACCAUGAUGAAGAAUGUCACUGAGCAAGAGCACAAGCAGUCCCUGCAGCUCACUUUCCGUUCACUAUGCACAUAUUUUAGUGAUAAGGAUCCAGGCGGCCUUCUACUUUUACCUGAGAAAAGUGACCUGGCUGACAUGAACAUCAGUGAAGUCCUGGCAGUCAUGAACACCCUCCUCUCUGUUGCUGCUCGAGAGUGUGAGCUGUUGAUGCUCAGUGGGACCCAAGGGGAGGCUGGCUCUGUGCUCCUCUCCCUCUUCUGGUCUGUCCAAGGCAGCCUGCUCUCCUGGUGCUAUCUGCAGCUAAAGGCAACUGACACAGCAGCCAAAGGCCUGGCCGUGGACCUUAUCGAAAAAUGUUCUUUAUUAGAGUUCAGAUCUAUGCUGGGUGCAGUGAUGCACACCUAUAAUCCCAGCUACUUGGGAAGCUAAGCCAGGAGAAUUACAAGUUUGAAGCCAGCUUCAGAAAUUUGGCAAGACCCUCAGCACCUUAGUGAGACCCUGUCUCAAGAUUAGAAAUAAAAGGGGCUGGGGAUGUUGCUCGGUGGUAGAACUCUACUGGAUUCAAUCCCCAGUGCCACAAGAACAAAAAACACAAAAUAAAACCAAAAAACUGAAUAGGGUAACUUUUGCCCUCUUAAAAUAGAAUUCUAUAGUAUGUCUUUUUGCUCAGAAUUUCCUAUUUGAAUGUGGUAUAUGUCUUAGUAUUUUUUUUUGAGGAAUUGGGUCAUUCCAUAACCUGACAUUCUCUCUUCAGUCACACAGCACUCUUAGAUGAUGUCUCACUUGUCAGGAUAGUCUGUCAUCCAUGGCUUAAUCAAGUCAUCUAAAAAAGAGUUUUGAGCUUUUAGCAUCCAAGGUGUAUGAAUACUGCUGUGACCUCUGCCAGUCCUGAAGUAUUCAAAUUCAUGUCCUGUAAACCCACAGAAAAUUAUAUGAAACUAACAAGUUCUGAGAAAUUGGGUGGGAAAAAUUUGGUUUCAUCAAACUUGCCCUGAGUUAUGGGGAGUUCCACAUCCUGGGGCUUUGGAGGAAAAGCUGUAGGAUGUUCAACCCCCACAUUGGGCUCUGGAGUUAUGGGGAGUUGCACUUCCACAGGUUUAAAUGCGAGGCUGGGUACUGUUGAAUAAUGAACUUGAUUCUCAGUUAGGACCUGUGGCUGAGUUGAAGUUUCUUGUGUUGGAAUCAUUCCUUCUUGAUACUUUGGAAGCAAAGUUGAGGUUUUCUGCAUGGUUGGAAAAACAAAUACGGGGACCGUUGGAAGAGAUAUAGAGAACGUUCCAAUAGCUAUAGGGAACGAUGAAAGAGCUACAGGCUUCUUCUUCGCCCUAGAACGUUUAGUGGGUUUUGGAGUCGAGGUGAGUUCCAGGUCCAAAGGUUGAAAUGUAACACUGGGUGAUGUUAAAUCCUGAGCUUGAUUCUGACUUAGGACCUCAGUUGAAGUUUCCAUCUGAGUUGUGGUUGCUUGUUGGGCUGAAGAAAAUCCAAAGUUUUCAGGGAAUCCUGGAGACUGGGAAGGGGCAUUCGACUGGGUUGGAUAAAAUGUAACUUGCUGGGUGGAAACUGGCUCAACUUCUUUAGUGGCUUCUGAAGGUACAGUAACUAUCAGAGCCACAUGUUGAACUGUGGUUUUAGGCAAAUGUGAAGACCCACUUCUGAACAUUACUUCCGGAUCUUGAGGUGAAAAUGACAUGGAAUCACUGAAGGAAGCAAUAGUCGGGACAAAUGUGGAUUCUGGAGGUUUAGUUGGGAGUGUUUCCUGGACUGGUGGAAGUUCAACACUCACGGGGGGCGUUGAGGGCAGAGAUGAGCUCUCCUGCUGACUUGAUAAAGAUUCCUCAGGCAGCUCUUCAAGCUGACUGGGGACCUCUUGAUCAAUUGGAGGUUGUUCCUCCUCUAGAGGGGGGCUUGGCUGAGGUUCCAACUGCUCAGGGGACACUGAGGACUCAUCUAGGGUCUCCUGUUGCGCUGAAGUUUCAACCUCACUAUUCAAUUCUGGAGUAGGAGACUCAGCUUGAUCAGAACCUAGAGAAGAACCUGUCACAUCCUCACCUUCUGGAGAUUGACCUACAUCGUUAGGGAGCUCUGGAGGCACAGUUGGGGCUUCAGGCUGGGAUGCAGAAGGUCCUGACUCAUUAGUUGGAAUUGAGGGAGGAACUAUAGCCUCACCAUUGAUCAUAGAAGUUCCCACCUCUGUAGUGGGUUCAGGUGUUAUAGUCAUUAGUACAUCUGCAGGUUCACCGGUCACACUGGGCAAGUCUAGAGAUUGCACCGGUACUUCCAGCUGGCUUUCAGAAGACUGGUCCUCCCCAGGAGACUCAGAAGGCUCAGUUGGGGUCUCUUGCUCACUGAGAGAAGGUUCAGUCUCCACAGGAGGGCCCGGAGGCUGAGCUGGGGUCUCUUGCUGGGUCAGAGAAGGUUCUACCUCCUCCACAUACUCUGGAGGCUGAACUGGGGCCUCCUGAACUGGAGCCUCCUGAACUGGAGCCUCUGGCUGAACUGGGGCCUCCUGAACUGGAGCCUCUGGCUGAACUGGGGCCUCCUGAACUGGAGCCUCCUGAACUGGGGCCUCUGGCUGAACUGGGGCCUCUGGCUGAACUGGGGCCUCCUGCUGGGCUAGAGAAGAUUCGGCCUCCUUGGUAGGUUCCGAAGUUAUGGUAAUUUCCACGUCUGCAGGCCUACCUGUAACACUGGGCAAGUUAUAAUAAUGAACUUGAUCCUGACCUAGAGAUGGAACUACAGGUAGAGUUGGUAGAGUUUCAGCUAUAUUCUCCAUAGGGGACUUGGGAGCUUGAACUGGAGUCUCUUGCUCAGCUAAAGAGGGUUCAGAGAGCUCUGAAGUCUGAGCUGGAGCCUCUUUUUGGGUUGAUGAAGGUUCUACUACUUCAAGACCCUCUGAAGGCUGGGUUGGGGCCUGCUCCUGGCCUGAAGGAAGGUGAAUCUCUUUAUCUGCCUGCGGAGUUACGGUAACCAGAUCUGCAGGUUUACUUGUGACAACCGGCUGAGUGUCACUUCUUAGAGAUGAAAGCUUAUGAUGCAUUGAUGCUUCACCUCCUAGAGCCUCCUGGUCCUCAGGAACUUCUUGCUGGGACGAAGAGGACUGGAGCUCCUCAGGAGUCUCUUGGGCCUCCACAGAAGGUUCAACCUGGUCAGGAGUUUCUGGAGACUCCUCUGAGUUCUCCUGGGAUUCCGGAGGUAGGUUGCCAGAAGAAGCUACAUCUGUACUUGGAUACACAUAAUCAUCCUGCAAGUUGUUCUGAAGCUGAAGUUUUGCAAAUUGCUUUGGAGUUCCACCAACAACUUUAGCAAAUCUCGGAUGCUGAGCUACAUCCUUCUUCAGAUUCAGUGGUGAAACAAUAAACUUUGCUGCUUUUGCACUCUGACUAUCUAGAGGUGGAACAAGUACUUCAAAUGACUGGUGAUCUGUAGACUGAUGCAGAUUGACAGUAUGAAUCUUACUUUUGAGUCGAGCAUUGGAACCAAUUCUGGGAGCCUCUCUUUCGGAAUUAGUUUGUCUUGAUGCAGCAAACUGAUCUUGAACAGCAAACUGAUCCAUCUCUGGGGCCGGCUCUCCAGGUGAAACCCUGCCCAAGAAUGGAAGCAAACUGUCAGUUAACUUCCGUGGUGAGUCCAACAUCUGGGAGCGAGCAGAGGACCCCAGGUCAUCAAAGACUCCCAGGUCUGCCGGGGGUGUAAGCGCAUGGGGCGAUAAGGGUGGGAGUUCAGAGGAGAGCAGAGACCAGGGCUUGAUAGGCCCUGGGUGCUCAGCGGUCAGCUGGAGAGGGUCCUGGGGCGACUCCAGAGGCUGAGCUGCCUGGACCAGCAGCCACAAUGGUUGCCACGUGAGGAGAAGCCCUGGUGCCCAGAGGCGCAGCAGGGACAUGACGUGCGGAGGCUUCGGGGCACAGCGACCUAGGCCAAUGGGGCGCGGGGCGCGCCUGUGGGAGCCUAACCGUUAUGGCAGCCCCUUGAGGCGCGCGCCUGGGAAACCUCAGUGGCCCCGCCCCACCCUUUAUUCAUGACACCUUGAUUAUGACACCUUUAUUAGGCUCAACCUUUAUUAGGCUCGCUCAGACCGGGAGCCUUUUCCCACAAUCAACCAACCCAAGCUUCCCUUCCCCAAGCAGGGGCCACAAUCGACCCCCACAGGCCCCCUCCCCUACAUCGAAGCAGGAUCUGGGCCCUAGAUGUGGGUGGCACCAGGACUCUAGCAGCCCAUUGGGUGGGGGGCGGCAGAGAUUCCCAAGGAAGUCACAGGACUGAGCCUCUGGGGAUAUUCAGUAGUGCUAGUCCAGUUCUGGCGGCCUGAAUUCUUCCUCUUCCAGGCUGAAAUCCCAGAGAUAUUCUUCCUCCCCUUGGCUAUACUGCUUCCAAGAGAAGCAAGUGACCUGUAAAACGAGGGCCAGUUAGGUUAACAGGCAGACUACACAUUAAGGUUAUUUAUUCCAAAAUGUUGCCAUUUGCUCUAAACUCUCUAUCCUAUUUCAUGUUUGAUAAUUAAUUCAUCACUCUGUUAGGCUGGGGCUACCAUUGAAAUCAGUGAUGACUCCGAAAUUUCUGUAGGAGGGGUUUUAGGCAGUGGGCAAUUCAGUCUGAGAAAGGGGUGUGAAUCCGUGUGGACAGCCCUUUACACUGGCAUGGGAAAACAUCUCCUUCCCACCUUGGCUCAGGUAGGCGUGACAACACCACUUUUUUAAAGGUGACUCUUGUGCACAUAUCUAGAGAAGGCAGGAUGUUAAAGCCUGCAACUUAAAUAGUUUUCUUGAAACACUACUAAGACUAGAACCCAAAUGACUUUUUUUUCAGAGCCCUUAUAGUAAUCUGUUUUAUUACUUAUUACCUGACACAACCCUAGUGCAUAAAGAUGUGUCAUCUUCUUAUUCCCAGUGCCUUGCAUAUGGCUGAGCACAUAGUAAUGGUUUUCAAAGUCACCUCCUUAAGGGGUGGAUCUGCUCUUAUAAUGGGAUUUCUACAGUCAGUGUGGAUUUACUUCCUUUCACAUUUCACAGGAAGUGAGACUUCUUAAACUUAAGUUUCCUUAACUGGUUUUAUUUAAAUUGAACUAAAACUUUUACAUGGAAAUAACUUAAAAUACUGUUUCAGAAUGCAACCCACUUCCUCUGCCUUUUCAAAAUAAAACACCCCACAUUUUUGAAGAGAAUCAUAUAAUUGAAAAUCUCCAAAUUAAUCCCCCCGCCCCCCGCAUAAAACAUAUUUUUGUGCCUCCCCCAAAUAUCUUAUACAUAGUAAAUAAU